GCCAGCCUGGUGUAGUGGUUUGAGCGUUGGACUAUGACUCUGGAAGCCAGGGUUCGAAUCCUGGCUCAGCCA
rnacentral:tRNA from 1 species